CAUGUGUGAACCUUUGUCCUCUGGGUAUAUCAUAGCUAUUGUCAUCUUGAAACCAGAACAACUAGAUUUACCCAAACCAAACUGUCACAAGACCGAGUCCACUACACUGCCCUGGAAAGAACGGAAACAGACUCCCAGGACACAGCAUGCCAACACCAUCCAUUCUGCUCUUCCCAGGAGGUCUUGACUGAGUAGCCACUGCUCUAAGGACUGGGAGGGUAGCACUGAACGGAAGAGUGGAACACUUGCCAGCACGGGUCAAAUACCAGGAAGGGAGAUUCCGAGCUGUGGAAGACUCCAAGGUCCUUUGUCUGAAGAACUAAAGGCCACCAUCGCUGACUCCGAAUCAUGUUUCUAAAACAAAGAUCUCUCAGAGCGGAGCAUCUCUCUUCUUUAUGCACCUGUGCAGGAUGCAGAGAACGGAGCAGCAGGGUGACUCGGAAUAAAAACAAACAAACCAAAGCCAUCUCCCCUGUGCUGUGCAGCUCAACAGAAGGAUGAAGCCACAUCCUGUGUGCAGAACAGCCUGAGACAUUGGUUGGACAAGCCCCGCAAAUUGACCCCAGAAGGACAUUUGGAAUGUCUGUUCCCCUGAUGCACAUUUUAAAGUAUAUUUCAUCCUUAUCUUUCCAUUUAAUGUCCCUGACAAGAAAGCACACUGUUUAGCAAUGUAAGUGCCUGGGACCAUCAGUGCUCCCCUGGCCACACUGACCGGGGUGCACAUUCUGAAGCCCCUUCUCAGCUCCGCUCAUGAUGACUUUCCACCGUGCAAGUGGACAAUAUCAGCCCCUUCUCCCCGCAAAGCACGAAAACUCAGGCAGCUCCAACCUUCAGGAGAAACUUUACCAAAAACGGAACCUGUGAGAUGGCUUCAGAGAUAAGAGCCCUUGUAAUGAAAGCCUGAGAAUGUACAUUCA